rnacentral:lncRNA from 1 species
AUCAACCAAAACCUCCACCUAUUCCACAACCUGCGGCCCUACGUGAUCAGCCCCUGCCACUUCUGCCUGAGGCACCAGUUGUGUUGCCCUACAGACCUAGAAGGAUGGACCCUAAUUCGUUCCCUCCACUAGUCAGAGGCAGGAGAGGCAGAGGAGGAGUUUACCCCUUCGCCAACAAUGACAAGAAUAGAUUGGGGGCAAACUGGAGGAAUCAUCCAGAUUUUG